UACGGAGGGAGCUAGCGUUGUUCGGAUAUACUGGGCGUAAAGCGCACGUAGGCGGCGCAGCAAGUCAGGGGUGAAAUCCCGGAGCUCAACUCCGGAACUGCCCUUGAAACUGCAGUGCUAGAAUCCUGGAGAGGCGAGUGGAAUUCCGAGUGUAGAGGUGAAAUUCGUAGAUAUUCGGAAGAACACCAGUGGCGAAGGCGGGUCUCUGGGCCGAUACUGACGCUGAGGAGCGAAAGCGUGGGGAGCAAACAGG
rnacentral:rRNA from 1 species